AAGGGAGGGAGUUAGGCUUGGAUCUAGGAGUCUUUGCGACCGUUGCGAGCUCGGCUACAUGAUAGAAAAUUGUUGGUGGAACUUAUUGAGAAGUAAGGAACAAGCCGAGCCCUAUUUUGUACAAGGGGAACCCUUUUAGUACCAAAGGGUUGAGGUCCAGGCGAAGGAUCCAGUGGUGGACGGGGAAAGGAGCAAAGCUAGGGGUUUGCUUGUGAUUUGUAAAGAACUGCAACCCCUUUCUUUUGAGCAAAUAUAUUGUAAUGUAUUUAAGAUUAGGGUGCCAGUAGGAUAUGAUUAUGUGUGUGUGUGUGAAUAUGUGUGGAUUGUGUGCUUGUGUAUGAAUUUUUGUCUGUUUGCAGACUUGUGGCUAGGAAACUUGGUUAUGGUGUGUGGUUUUGAUGGAUUUACUUAGUAGACCAAGUUUCUAUU